rnacentral:snRNA from 1 species
GUGCUGGCUCUGGCAGCACAUACGCUGACACUGGAACGAUCUGGAGAAGUUUAGCACUGGCCCCGCUCAAGUUCAUGAAGCACAAGUUCAUGAAGCGCUCCGUGUUUGC